rnacentral:misc_RNA from 1 species
AAGAAAAGUGACCCCACAUAUUCAAGCACGCUCCUUAAGCAUGCUGAACAGUUAUUUACUUUUGCUGAUAAACACAGGGGUUCCUACAGUGAGAGCAUCCCUGAAGUUCAGACUUAUUACAAUUCAACAGGAUACGGGGAUGAGCUCCUGUGGGCAGCUAGCUGGCUCUACCAUGCUACAGGGGAUAAAUCAUAUCUUCAAUAUGUGACUGGGGAAAAUGGAAAAUCCUUUGCAAACUGGGGAAGUCCAACAUGGUUUAGCUGGGACAAUAAACUAGCGGGAACACAGGUACUGUUGUCCAGAUUAACCUUCUUUGGUGAG